AACGACAAACAAGUUUGACCUCAAAUCAGGUAAGAAUACCCGCUGAACUUAAGCAUAUCAAUAAGCGGAGGA
rnacentral:rRNA from 1 species